GGUCAAGUUAUUAAGGGUGCAGGGCGGAUGCCUUGGCACUAGGAGCCGAUGAAGGACGUGAUAAGCUGCGAUAAGCUUCGGGGAGUUGCACGUAAACUUUGAUCCGAAGAUUUCCGAAUGAGGAAACUCACUUAGAGUAAUGUCUAAGUAUCAUUAAGUGAAUACAUAGCUUAAUGAGGGGAACUCAGGGAACUGAAACAUCUAAGUACCUGAAGGAAGAGAAAGAAAUUCGAUUCCGUAAGUAGCGGCGAGCGAACGCGGAUUAGCCCAAACCAAUAAAGUUU
rnacentral:rRNA from 1 species